AGGGAAAGCUGGUGGAUUUUAAUGACUUGUUCUGGGCAAUUCAUCCUGGUGGCCCAGCAAUUCUCAAUAAACUAGAGAGCACUCUGAGGUUGAAAAGUGACAAGCUUGAAUGCAGCAGAAAGGCCUUGAUGGAUUAUGGAAAUGUUAGCAGCAACACCAUUUUCUAUGUCAUUGAGAACAUGAGAGAGAAUCUGAAGAGGGAGGAUGGGGAAGAAUGGGGA
rnacentral:misc_RNA from 1 species